rnacentral:tRNA from 1 species
GCACCCGUGGUGAAAUGGAUAUCAUAACUGCCUUCGAAGCAGUCGUUCCAGGUUCGACCCCUGGCGGGUGCACAA